rnacentral:snRNA from 1 species
AUAUGUAAGAGUCAUCUGAUGUUGACAUCAGUCACUCUAUUGAUCGCCAGGGUUGAUUUGGUUGAUCUAGCUGGCUAGGCAAGUGUCCCCGUCCUCUUUCAUCACUCCCAUAUGAGUCCCUUCUGAAGCUGCACACAAGGUGGAAGAGGACAAUCAUCUCAGGUAGAAAGACGUGUAUGGUCAAGGAUAUAAGAAAAUAUAAUUAAAGAACAUGAAUGACUCAUGCAGGAAGGUGUUCUU